UACAGAGGUCUCAAGCGUUGUUCGGAUUCAUUGGGCGUAAAGGGUGCGUAGGCGGCGCGGUAAGUCGGGUGUGAAAUUUCGGAGCUUAACUCCGAAACUGCAUUCGAUACUGCGGUGCUUGAGGACUGGAGAGGAGACUGGAAUUCAUGGUGUAGCAGUGAAAUGCGUAGAGAUCAUGAGGAAGACCAGUGGCGAAGGCGGGUCUCUGGACAGUUUCUGACACUGAGACACGAAGGCCAGGGGAGCAAACGGG
rnacentral:rRNA from 1 species